ensembl:lncRNA
UCACUAUAACACCCAGCUGGAGAGAGGGUCCCCCGCCCUCCUGCAGGACUACCAGGCUGUGUUGGGCCGGUUCGUUCAGGGCCUUGGUGACUCAGUGAAGAAGUUCUCCAGCCAAGGGAACCGGGAGGCUGCCAAAGAGGCCCUGGGCCGGCUGAAGUUGGUUGAGGUGGAGGUAAUGGAGGCUGUUGGUUGGUCGAUUGAUAUCGAAUCUCACUCUUAAUAUCACUCACACUAUCCGUUCCUUUCUGCCCGUUUCAGCUGGAAUCUCUGAAAAGAAAGCGCCAUGCAUGAGUGAAGAGAAAGAGGAUAACGAACGAGACACACACACACACACACACACACACACACACACACACACACACACACACACACACACA